GGGGACGCGAACCUGGGAGGGCGGGCUGGAGAGCGCGGAGGUCCAAGGCGCGGCCCUAGCUGGAACGGCAGCAGGACAGCGCUGGGAAGGGGUCAUCUCCGCAACCUGUGAGCCAGAGAGUUAUGCAAAUGGAAAAAGAAAACCUCGGCCUUCACCCCUGUGCCAAGUCUAGUCACGGAGUUUGUAGGAAUCGUGGAUCAAGGAACUGGUGUUCCAGGGCAGGGAACAUUGCCUUUCGUCACCAAUAACGAGCAUUCAGAUGAGCGCCUUGGCGAAAGGUGGCUCGCUCACUCCAUGGUAACCAGGGAUUGUAGUGAUGAAGUCACCGGGCGUCUGGGCGGCGUCGCGGUGGCACCUCAGGGCCUGCAGACACCGUGCCCGGCUCCGCGAACCGACAGCGCCCUCUGGCGGACGCGAGUGUGCCCAGCCCAGUUCUUCCGGCGCCCUGACCGCCUCUACUACCUCGAGUCCACGGACUGGGGCUCCAAACGCUAGGAGCAGUAGGAUUACUGAACAAGCUGAGGGGAUAGGUUAAGGAGCAGACCACAUGGCAAGGGGCCAUUGGCUUUAUCCAUAUGCCCAUCAGAAGCAGGGGACAGAUGUAGUCAGCGAGCACCUGCUCUAUCAAAAUACUAUGCUUGUUUUUUUUUUUUAAUUAACUAUGGGGGUUGUAGCCAACGAACACAUCGAGAAAGAGAAAAGAUCAUGAAGGAUUUUGGAGCCUGAAAGGUAUUUAUGGGCCAGGUUACCCACAUCCCAGUAGCUAUGACUUACUUACAUGGCCACAUGUAACUGCAAGGGAGGCUGGGAAACAGUCUAGUCAAGUGCCAGGAGGAAGAGAAGAGCACAGCGUUUUGGUGAGCAGAGAGCUAUGUCUCCCACUUGGUCCUUUCCCCCAGUGCUGGAGAUUAGGACGAUCUAUGUGGGUUAGCUAACCCUCAGUGCAAACUUGAUCCAGUCUUCUUUUGCCUCAUUCUUUCCCUAUCUUAUGUGUUAAAAAGAGCCAGAAAGACUCUACAGUUGUGGAAAGAGAUGCAGGUGCAGGUGUGGGCAAACAUAAAGGUGAUGAAACAGGAGAAAGAGCAGUGUGCUGGGCUACAGUCGUCUUCCAGCUCCUCCCUCUCCUUGCCCAUUAACCGGCCAAGGUGCUCUCAUCUUUGGUGCCAAUUGUGGUGUGGUGGGAGACAUCGCCUAUUGUUUCCUGGGGGGAGGAUCCACUCUCAAUCCCUGCAAGUGAACUUGAUCAAGGUCUUCCUUUCCUCCAGGUGAACUCGGAGAUGCUGCAGUGCAGCGUCGGGUGGAAGUGUCGGAUGGUGAGUGACUUACAAGGCACCAACUUCAGAUGUAAUACUAUUCUGUACUUUGAACUUUCAAGGAAGCUUUUAUAUCUAUCCCUCUUUGAUUACUCCCUUCUCAACCACAAGUUCAGGGCAAAUAUCAUUAUCUCCAUUUUACAGAUGAGGGUCACUGGGACUCAGAGAAGGUAAGGGACUCAAGUGCACAGGAUGAGAGCCCAGAGCAGCACCUGGUUCCCUAGACAGGGCCUCCCUCCCAUGCUCACCCUUACCCCAUUUAUCUGUGUCUGAUCAGGGCACUAGUGGGUGGCUGUUCUACAAGUUCCCUGGAAACUAAGUCUCCAAGGAGGCCUCAUUGCCCUGCAAGGCAAAGGCUGCUGCUCCAGUGGGCGGGUUGCGUGGAGACACUGGCCCAGACAGGAGAGCAGGCCGUCCCACCCCGCCUCAGCUGCUGCCGCCCACCUGGCCUGGGCGGUGAGGACAUUAAUGAAGGAGGGCUGGUUGGGGUACGUUGCACCUGGUCCAGCAGGCACUGCACUGGGCCGCACCAAGCGGCAAAACAGAUGCUCAGAACACGACCUUUGCCGUCUGAGGAACUUAGAGCUCCUGGCACUCUGCUCAUUGCUUUUCUUGGGGGUAGGGUGGGCGCUCACUUCACCCCCCUCUGCGUGAGGGUAGCUGCCGCUCAAGUUCUUAUCUCACUGAAGGAUUUUCUUUUAAAAGUCAACCUUUGUCCACUUCUCUCCUUUCCCCUCCCCUGUCUUUUCUUUCCCUGAACCUGUUGCACUUCUGUUGUUAACUUCUAACAAAGGGAGCUUUUCUGGAUUGUUUUAUUCUUGCAGAUGCAAACAAGCUAACCAGGAGAGCCAAGCCAGGUCCAGCUGAUGCCGGCCUGUGUAGGUGGGGUGCAGGAACCAAGCAUUGGAAGCCCUCUUCUGGGACUUGACAUUUCCCAGAGAGCUUGGAAAAAUCAGGGAAGCCCUGCCCAGGACUAGGUCCCUUUAACCUCGAGGGUGUGGUCACUCAGGGCCCUGCAUGGUGGGAGGGUCCCGGUGCCUGGAGUCUAGUGAAGGAAGGAGAAAGGGUAUUUUCCUCCUCACUCCCUGAAAACCAUGCCAGCUCCUUUUCCUGACCAGAGCCCUGCACCCCUCAUCCUGUUUGGCUCAGCUUAGAUGGCAUUUCUUCCAAGUGAAAUGCUCCCCCAUCAGCCCUGAGUACUAGUCUACCUGUUGGUUUCCUCCAAAGGCAGAACUACAGCAAAGCUAAUAUGGCCUAAAUUUUAGGGCCCCUCCCUUGCUCCUUCCAAGGCCCUGUUCCUAAUUUUAUAUUCCUAAUUUCGUAUUCUUUUUCCUAAAGAGGGCUUUUCACAUUGUUUAAGCUUCAGGCCACAUAAAACCCGGGUCUACCUGUGGUCUUUCCCAUUACCCUGCAAACUCCCUGAUUCAGGGACUGUGUCAGAUUCCCUGGGGUAUUCCUAGGUCCAGGGCAAGGCGAGGCUUUCAAUCAAGGUUUGUUAAAUGAAAAGAACGAAAGGAAGAAAAUAUCCUUAGCUAGUGCUUAGCUGACCAGUGGUUCUCAUUGGAACCCCAGCACUGUCACCUGAGUGCUCUGGACAGGCUGGCCUGGGACUUCAGGACAGUGCAGUGCAGGGUGGAGGCCAGGUGGGAAGCUCAGGGACUUAGUUCUAGGAUCUUGGGCAAACUCCCUACCUCUCAGUGGGCCCCUGGUUAAGUCAAAUGCAGGGGGUUUGUAACAACUGCCUUACAGGAUAACCAUGGGCCUUGUGUUACAGAUGGCGCAGUACCUGACACUGAGUAGGUCUCAGGAAAUUCCUUUAUAUACUCACUCCCUGAGGAACGCUUUGUUUGUACGCUUUUUAUCUCUAGCGCUGACGGCACCCUCAAGGUUACCCUUAGGGCAUUUUAACCAGGUGGCUCCUGCAUAGUGGGGUUUACGUCCAGGCACACAAAGGGAUUGGCUCUGGACCCAGGACCCCACUGAGGAUGGCCCUGAGACCAAGUCUGGGGUUCCCCCACCCCCAUACCCAGCUCUUUCCUACAUUAAGAUAGAGGGCUGCAGGAAAAAUUCAGGGAACUCGAAUACAAAUAUAAAUAAUAAGGGAACAAAUCAUGUGGCUAACCAGCUUCCGCUUGCAGCUGUGGUUGGCUUUUCCAGCUAUUUGACUGAACUGGAGCCCCCAAUGGCUGUAAAGUAGUCAUUUUCCUCUGUCUCUCAGAGAAGAAACUGAGACUGAUACGGUGUCAAACCACCUGCCUCACUAAGCCCCAGAGUUGGCGGGCGGCAGACCCGGAACCGCAGGCCAGGUCCAGGCCCUUGCCACCCUGGCUGGUCACGGCCUCCUGCCCCCUGUCCCUCAGCGCAGGAUUGACACACACACCGCUCAAUUCUUUUAAGUUUCCACACGGACUCCCUCGUCUCGUGGGAACCAGGGCACCUGCCAGUGUAAGAACUGACCUUGCCAGCCCAGCAUGGAGCUUGUCUUUGCGGUUUUUCUCUAACAAGAAUGGAGAAGUGGUCAAUGUUUCUCACGUUUUCCUCUGGUGACGUCCACACAGUCUGUGUUUGCAUGUGCCAGAGCUUGAAAAUUCAACAGCUCGGUGGGGAGGGUGGCAGAAGGCAGAGCUGGGGGAGGGGGGCAAUUUACCAUUUACUGCAACAUGAGUUCCGCUAUUCACUUUUUACGUAGGAACAGUAGUAGCAGUAACAAUAACAAUCAAUAAAAGGACAAAAUACACG